rnacentral:rRNA from 1 species
UACGGAGGGUGCAAGCGUUAUCCGGAUUCACUGGGUUUAAAGGGAGCGUAGGUGGGCUGGUAAGUCGGUGGUGAAAUCUCCGGGCUUAACCCGGAAACUGCCGUUGAUACUAUCAGUCUUGAAUGUUGUGGAGGUAAGCGGAAUAUGUCAUGUAGCGGUGAAAUGCUUAGGUAUGACAUAGAACACCGAUAGCGAAGGCAGCUUGCUACACAAUGAUUGACACUGAGGCUCGAAAGCGUGGGGAUCAAACAGG